CCUACGGGGGGCAGCAGUGAGGAAUAUUGGACAAUGGGCGCAAGCCUGAUCCAGCAAUGUCGCGUGAAUGAUGAAGGCCUUCGGGUUGUAAAGUUCUUUCGUUGGGGAAGCGGUACCCAAAGAAGAAGCUCCGGCUAACUUCGUGCCAGCAGCCGCGGUAAUACGGGGGGAGCUAGCGUUUUUCGGAAUUAUUGGGCGUAAAGGGCGUGUAGGCGGUUAAUAAAGUUGAAAGUGAAAGCCCCGGGCUUAACCUGGGAACUGCUUUCAAAACUCAUUAACUAGAGAACGAUAGAGGAUAGUAGAAUUCCUAGUGUAGAGGUGAAAUUCUUAGAUAUUAGGAGGAAUACCGGUGGCGAAGGCGGCUAUCUGGGUCGUUCUGACGCUGAGGCGCGAAAGCGUGGGGAGCAAACAGGAUUAGAUACCCUGGUAGUC
rnacentral:rRNA from 1 species